GUCCGUUUUGCAGUGAGGAGGGUUCCGAUGGGCCCCCCGCUUCUCUCUCUCACUGGCCGGCAUCACUGUCCCCUUGAAUCACGUCACCAUUUACUCCAGGGCCCAACGGUGACAUCACUCUGCCGACCAAGGGAUUUGAACCUAAACACCUUACGAUCACAGGCACAUCAGCCUAAUCCGCUGAGCCCCACCCCCGCAAACAACAGGUGACAGAAAUGAGAACGGCAGCUCAGCAGAUAGCGAAGUCCAGUGGGCACCCGCCCUUGACCACACGUUGGCUGGCAUCUCCAAAAGCCAAGCGGGCUCUGGAAAAACAUUGGCGAACUCGGGAGAGUUCAUCACCGCCACUCUGCUGCUUGUUUGGGGCUUGUUUAUUCGACGCUUCCUAACUGAUCUCUGGUUUCCUGGCGUUUUCUGUGCCAGUGCACAGAGUUUUGGUAACACGGACGGCGAGAGGAUGCCUGUUUCGGUGAAUUUUGGGCGUGAUGGAAUGAUGUGGCCAUUGUUGGGGGAGGGGGGGGGGAAUUGUUUGGGAGAAAGAUCUGCUUGAAUAGACUCUGUUGUAAGAAGCGGGAAAAAGAAGCAGAUUGACAGAGUGACAGAAAUGGCGAGAGAGGGAGGGAGAUAGAGGAGAGAACUUGGUGAAAACAACCAAUCAACUGUAUCUGGGGUCAUGUUGUAAUUUUAAGGUCUUAGAGGAGCCUGGAAGCAGGGUGGUUCUGGGGUGGGACAAGCCCAUUCAUGAACUGCACCAAGUCCUUCACCUAAGAUACAUUCUUCCCCUGCACAGGAACCCCCCCCAGACCCUGCUGCCACAGCAUCUCUCCCCCACCCAACAGC